CCCUGUUUGUCUCUGCGUUGAGAAAGCUACCUGAGUCAGGAUCCUGUGAGGUACUUCUGUGACUCCCAUUAGAUAACAGAGACAUCCAGAAAGCCACCAAUGUAUGCAGUUGGGGACAAAUUAGUGGUGAUCUGAUACAAAGGGGCCAAAGACCUUGAAGGAGCAUGUGGGCAGAUCCCUCAAACCCCCAUGUCCUCAAACCUCCAAGCCCGAGAAAUUUGCAGAACUCA